rnacentral:rRNA from 1 species
UACGUAGGGACCAAGCGUUGUUCGGAUUUACUGGGCGUAAAGGGCGCGUAGGCGGCUUAACAAGUCACUUGUGAAAUCUCCGGGCUUAACUCGGAACGGCCAAGUGAAACUGUUAUGCUAGAGUGCAGAAGGGGCAAUCGGAAUUCUUGGUGUAGCGGUGAAAUGCGUAGAUAUCGUAAGGAAGACCAGUGGCGAAGGCGGGUCUCUGGACAGUUCCUGACGCUGAGGCACGAAGGUCAGGGGAGCAAACGGG